ensembl:snRNA U6 U6 spliceosomal RNA
AAUAACGCUGUGGAUUUUAUUACUAAAAGAUUCUGUGAUACAGAGAAGAUUAGCAUGGCACCUGUGCAAGAAUGACACGCAAAUUGGAGAAGCGUUCCAUAUUUUU